GGGAAGAGGAGAGAAGGUGGUACAGGCCAAGGGAGAGGAGAGAAGGUGGUACAGGCCAAGGGAGAGGAGAAAAUGUGGUGCAGGCCAAGGGAGAGGAGAGAAGGUGGUACAGGCCAGGGAAGAGGAGAGAAGGUGGUGCUGGCUAGGGGAGAGGAGAGAAGGUAGUGCUGGCUAGGGGAGAGGAGAGAAGGAGGUGCUGGCUAGGGAGAGGAGAGAAGGUGGUGCUGGCUAGGGAGAGGAGAGGAGGUGGUGCUGGCUAGGGGAGAGGAGAGAAGGUGGUGCUGGCUAGGGGAGAGGAGAGAAGGAGGUGCUGGCUAGGGGAGAGGAGAGAAGGAGGUGCUGACCAGAGGAAAGGAGAAAACC
ensembl:lncRNA